rnacentral:rRNA from 1 species
GAUUAAGUUAUUAAGGGCGCACGGUGGAUGCCUUGGCACUAGAAGCCGAUGAAGGACGUUACUAACGACGAUAUGCUUUGGGGAGCUGUAAGUAAGCUUUGAUCCAGAGAUUUCCGAAUGGGGAAACCCAGCAUGAGUUAUGUCAUGUUAUCGAUAUGUGAAUACAUAGCAUAUCAGAAGGCACACCCGGAGAACUGAAACAUCUUAGUACCCGGAGGAAGAGAAAGAAAAUUCGAUUCCCUUAGUAGCGGCGAGCGAAACGGGAAGAGCCCAAACCAACAAGCUUGCUUGUUGGGGUUGUAGGACACUCUAUACGGAGUUACAAAGGACGACAUUAGACGAAUCAUCUGGAAAGAUGAAUCAAAGAAGGUAAUAAUCCUGUAGUCGAAAAUGUUGUCUCUCUUGAGUGGAUCCUGAGUACGACGGAGCACGUGAAAUUCCGUCGGAAUCUGGGAGGACCAUCUCCUAAGGCUAAAUACUCUCUAGUGACCGAUAGUGAACCAGUACCGUGAGGGAAAGGUGAAAAGCACCCCGGAAGGGGAGUGAAAUAGAACCUGAAACCGUGUGCUUACAAGUAGUCAGAGCCCGUUAAUGGGUGAUGGCGUGCCUUUUGUAGAAUGAACCGGCGAGUUACGAUUUGAUGCAAGGUUAAGCAGUAAAUGUGGAGCCGUAGCGAAAGCGAGUCUGAAUAGGGCGUUUAGUAUUUGGUCGUAGACCCGAAACCAGGUGAUCUACCCUUGGUCAGGUUGAAGUUCAGGUAACACUGAAUGGAGGACCGAACCGACUUACGUUGAAAAGUGAGCGGAUGAACUGAGGGUAGCGGAGAAAUUCCAAUCGAACCUGGAGAUAGCUGGUUCUCUCCGAAAUAGCUUUAGGGCUAGCCUCAAGUGAUGAUUAUUGGAGGUAGAGCACUGUUUGGACGAGGGGCCCCUCUCGGGUUACCGAAUUCAGACAAACUCCGAAUGCCAAUUAAUUUAACUUGGGAGUCAGAACAUGGGUGAUAAGGUCCGUGUUCGAAAGGGAAACAGCCCAGACCACCAGCUAAGGUCCCAAAAUAUAUGUUAAGUGGAAAAGGAUGUGGCGUUGCCCAGACAACUAGGAUGUUGGCUUAGAAGCAGCCAUCAUUUAAAGAGUGCGUAAUAGCUCACUAGUCGAGUGACACUGCGCCGAAAAUGUACCGGGGCUAAACAUAUUACCGAAGCUGUGGAUUGUCCUUUGGACAAUGGUAGGAGAGCGUUCUAAGGGCGUUGAAGCAUGAUCGUAAGGACAUGUGGAGCGCUUAGAAGUGAGAAUGCCGGUGUGAGUAGCGAAAGACGGGUGAGAAUCCCGUCCACCGAUUGACUAAGGUUUCCAGAGGAAGGCUCGUCCGCUCUGGGUUAGUCGGGUCCUAAGCUGAGGCCGACAGGCGUAGGCGAUGGAUAACAGGUUGAUAUUCCUGUACCACCUAUAAUCGUUUUAAUCGAUGGGGGGACGCAGUAGGAUAGGCGAAGCGUGCGAUUGGAUUGCACGUCUAAGCAGUAAGGCUGAGUAUUAGGCAAAUCCGGUACUCGUUAAGGCUGAGCUGUGAU